GACGAACGCUGGCGGCGUGCUUAACACAUGCAAGUCGAACGAUGAAGCCCAGCUUGCUGGGCGGAUUAGUGGCGAACGGGUGAGUAACACGUGGGCAACCUGCCCCAAACUCUGGGAUAACUCCUCGAAAGAGGUGCUAAUACCGGAUACGAACUAGACAGACAUCUGUACUAGUUGGAAAGUUUUUCGGCUUGGGAUGGGCCCGCGGCCUAGCAGCGUGUUGGUGAGGUAACGGCGCACAAAGGCGACGACGGGUAACCGGCGUGAGAGGGCGACCGGUCACACUGGGACGGGGACACGGCCCAGACGCCUACGGGAGGAAGAGGUGGGGAAUAUUGCGCAAUGGGCGAAAGCCUGACGCAGCGACGCCGCGUGAGGGAUGAAGGUCUUCGGAUCGUAAACCUCAUUCAGUAGGGACGAAGCGAAAGUGACGGUACCUAAAGAAGAAGCACCGGCUAACUACGUGCCAGCAGCCGCCGCAG
rnacentral:rRNA from 1 species